UGGGGAAUAUUGGACAAUGGGCGGAAGCCUGAUCCAGCAACGCCGCGUGAGGGAUGAAGGCCUUCGGGUUGUAAACCUCUUUCAGCACAGACGAAGCUGAUCCUUUUUGGGGUGGGUGACGGUAUGUGCAGAAGAAGGACCGGCCAACUACGUGCCAGCAGCCGCGGUAAUACGUAGGGUCCGAGCGUUAUCCGGAAUUAUUGGGCGUAAAGGGCUCGUAGGCGGUUUGUUGCGUCGGGAGUGAAAACCCAGGGCUUAACUCUGGGCUUGCUUCCGAUACGGGCAGACUUGAGGUAUUCAGGGGAGAACGGAAUUCCUGGUGUAGCGGUGAAAUGCGCAGAUAUCAGGAGGAACACCGGUGGCGAAGGCGGUUCUCUGGGAAUUACCUGACGCUGAGGAGCGAAAGUGUGGGGAGCGAACA
rnacentral:rRNA from 1 species